rnacentral:rRNA from 1 species
UACGUACCGUCCAAACGUUAUUCGGAAUUACUGGGCUUAAAGGGUUUGUAGGCGGCGCUGUUAGUCGGGUGUGAAAUCUCCGGGCUUAACCCGGAAAGGUCAGCCGAUACUGCGGGCUAGAGUGCAGAAGGGCAACUGGAAUUCUCGGUGUAGCGGUGAAAUGCGUAGAUAUGCGGAGGAACACCGAUGGCGAAGGCAGUCCCUGGGCCUGUACUGACGCUCAUGCACGAAAGCGUGGGGAGCAAACAGG